GACGAACGCUGGCGGCGUGCUUAACACAUGCAAGUCGAACGGAAAGGCCCUGCUUUUGUGGGGUGCUCGAGUGGCGAACGGGUGAGUAACACGUGAGUAACCUGCCCUUGACUUUGGGAUAACUUCAGGAAACUGGGGCUAAUACCGGAUAGGAGCUCCUGCUGCAUGGUGGGCGUUGGAAAGUUUCGGCGGUUGGGGAUCGACUCGCGGCUUAUCAGCUUGUUGGUGGGGUAGUGGCUUACCAAGGCUUUGACGGGUAGCCGGCCUGAGAGGGGGACCGGGCACAAUGGGACUGAGGUACGGCCCAGACGGCUACGGGGGGCAGCAGGGGGGAAUAUUGCACAAUGGGCGGAAGCCUGAUGCAGCAACGCCGCGUGCGGGAUGACGGCCUUCGGGUUGUAAACCGCUUUCGCCUGUGACGAAGCGGGAGUGACGGUAAUGGGUAAAGAAGCACCGGCUAACUACGUG
rnacentral:rRNA from 1 species